rnacentral:rRNA from 1 species
GAUGAACGCUGGCGGCGUGCCUAAUACAUGCAAGUCGAGCGAAAAGACGAGGAGCUUGUUCCUCUGACGUUUGCGGCGGGCGGGUGAGUAACAUGUGGAUCACCUACCUAUAAGACUGGGAUAUCUUCGGGAAACCGGCGAAAAUAGCGGAUAAUCUACUGAUGCGUAGGGGGCAAUGGUGAAAGACGGUUUUGGUGGAAGUUAUAGAUGGAUACGAGCCGCAUGAGCUGGUUGGGAAGGUAACGGCUUACCAAGGGUAGGAGGCGUAGCCGAGUGGAGGGGGUGGUCGGCCGCACGGGAACGUGGACACGGUCCAGGCUACUACGGGAGGCAGCAGUAGGGAAUCUGCCGCAAUAGGCGAAAACCUGGCGGAGCGACGCCGCGUGAGUGAUGGAAGUCUUCGGAUCGGAAAGCUCUGUUAUUAGGGAAGAACAAAUGUGUAAGGAACUAUGCACGUCUUGACGGUACCUAAUCAGAAAGCCACGGCUAACUACGUG